AUGCGUCAUGCUCACGGCGGCUUUAAUGGUCGUGCCAUGCCACGCAUCCCCGGCCUCUCCUCCUCGACGCCCUUCCUCUCCCUUCUUAAGGAGAGGGCUGAUGGUCACUGCUUCAAGUGUCUCUCCCCCCUCCACCGUGUUCGCAGCUGCACUGCCUCUGCCCCCUCCUGCUUCCUUUGCGGCGUCUCCGGCCACAAAGCGCGGAACUGCUCCGUUGUCCCAAAGCCGCCUGUCCAGUGCCGUGUUGUGUUCCCUCCUGGGCACCCCAACUCCUCCCGCCUACAUCCCUCCACGCGCCUGACCUUCCCCAGCGACCACCCUGUCUCGCUUCGCCAGCCGGUGUCCGCUCGUAUCUCACUUCCCUCCCCUCCUCCACCGGGCUCCUCUUGCCUUCCACACGCCGUUUCAUCUGCCGGCUCGUCGAUUCUUGGGCCUGUGCCUUGCUUUCCUGCGCGCGAGGCUCCCCCUGCUCCAUCGCAAGUGCCAGUCAUGGACUCGGCUCGGAUCCCGGGCGAUGCCGAGAACCGCCCUGAGUUCGUCUCCGGCGUGGCUCCCUUCACGACGGUGAUGCACUCCGCCGAGCACUUCUGCGAGCGCCACGGUGCCAUCCUCGUCACCCUUGGCAACCGGCCGCGCCUGUCCGUCGGGCAGGUUUGCGACGCGAUCGCGCGCCGCUUCGCCCUCGCCCCCGGCUCUUUCUCCAUCACCAUGCUGGCCCAUGUCGGUGACUUAUUCGUCCUCUUCAACGAUGCCGUGGUGCGCAACGUCGCCACCAGCAUGCCGGACUCCCUACGUGUGGGCGCCGCCUCGCUUGGGUUCCGCCCUUGGACGCGGUUCAUUGGCGCGUCCCUUGCGCCGCUGCCGUACCGGGCUCGCAUCUGCCCCGAGGGCGUGCCAGAGCACGGUCGCCACCUCGAGUCGGUGGCCGUCCUCUUCAAGAACAACUGCCUGAUGGACUGCGUCGACGACAUCCACCCCACUGACCAAGACGCCGCCUGCUUCUGCGUCUGGAUUUGGACGGCUGAUCCGGAGGGCAUCGCUCGCCGUGGCUCUUUGGGCCUGGAGGAGCGGCCGCGCGCUGCGUCGCCGCUGCUUGACUUCCCCGAGUUAGGCAUCUCCGAGCAGCCGCCGUCGCAUGAAGGCCCGGCGAACGUCCUGUCGUACCCGAUCCUGCUGCACCUUGACAAGGUGUGGGACUACUCGCCUCGCUCCCCCGUCUCCGGCGCCAGCAGCCACUCCGCCCAAAGCGGCAUCCCAAGCAGCAUCUCCGACGGCGACGACGUGCUCCCACGCAAGCGCUCCCUCGGCUGGCGCUAUGCGUACGAGGACAACCCCAGGCAUCUUUCGCGCCGCCCUGCUCACCUGCGCCUCGGCCCGCGACGCCGCGACCACUCUCCGGAUGAUGGUGCUAGCGGCGGCUCGGCGGGUGGCCGGCAUGCACCUCGUCGCACCCUCCACGGUGCUGGCUCUGCUGCUUCGCUCGGUGGAGCGAGCGGCAACGCCGGUGGCCACUACGCCGGCAACAUCGGUUGGCGGCGCCGUCAACAUGCACCCUCUCACGACGUCAACGGCGCCAUUGACGGAGAGGUAACGGCGUCCCCUUCGUCCGUCGCCGCUCCCCCAGUCUUGAAGGGCACGGCCAACGCGUUGCCUCUCCCUGCCUUGGAGAGCACGGCCAACGCGCAGUGCGAUGGCGCUGCACUGCCGCGCCCUGACACGCGUGCCCUGCCUUGCAGCUCCCUGCCUGUCUCGAGCCCAGCACCGCUUCUGCCUGCCUUCCCUCUCCUGCAGUCCGGCUUGCAACCUUUUGUUGCCAUGGCUUCUACGCCUCCUUCCCUUUCUGGGCAACCUACGCCUGCUUGCUAUGCCGCCCCUCUGGUGGCCUAG
rnacentral:rRNA from 1 species